CCUACGGGUGGCUGCAGUGGGGAAUAUUGGACAAUGGGCGCAAGCCUGAUCCAGCAAUGCCGCGUGUGUGAAGAAGGCCUGCGGGUUGUAAAGCACUUUAAGCAGGAAAGAAGGGGUGAAAGUUAAUACCUUUCAUCAUUGACGUUACCUGCAGAAUAAGCACCGGCUAACUCCGUGCCAGCAGCCGCGGUAAUACGGAGGGUGCGAGCGUUAAUCGGAAUUAGCGGACGUAAAUUGCGCGUUGCGUGGUGAAAGCCCUGGGAUUAACCGGGGAACUGCGGUGGAUACUGUCGGGCUAGAGUGUGGUAGAGGGGAGUGGAAUUUCCGGUGUAGCAGUGAAAUGCGUAGAGAUCGGAAGGAACACCAGUGGCGAAGGCGGCUCCCUGGACUAACACUGACGCUGAGGUGCGAAAGCGUGGGGAGCAAACAGGAUUAGAUACCCCGGUAGUC
rnacentral:rRNA from 1 species